rnacentral:rRNA from 1 species
CCUACGGGAGGCAGCAGUGAGGAAUAUUGGGCAAUGGACGCAAGUCUGACCCAGCAACGCCGCGUGAAGGAAGAAGGCUUUCGGGUUGUAAACUUCUUUUAAGGGGGAAGAGCAGAAGACGGUACCCCUUGAAUAAGCCACGGCUAACUACGUGCCAGCAGCCGCGGUAAUACGUAGGUGGCAAGCGUUGUCCGGAUUUACUGGGUUUAAAGGGUGCGUAGGCGGUCCGGAAAGUCAGCGGUAAAAGCCCGGGGCUCAACCCCGGCGAGCCGUUGAAACUGUCGGACUAGAGACGGCGAGAAGUACGCGGAAUGCGCGGUGUAGCGGUGAAAUGCAUAGAUAUCGCGCAGAACUCCGAUUGCGAAGGCAGCGUACCGGCGCCGGACUGACGCUGAGGCACGAAAGCGUGGGUAUCGAACAGGAUUAGAUACCCCUGUAGUC